AACUGCAUAGCAAGACCCUGCCUCAAACACACACACACACACACACACACACACACACACUCUAGAAAGACACCUAGAGAGGUUCCGCCUCCCUGCCUGGACUCUUGGGUGCGGUCUCCUUUCGGCUCCGCCUGGGCCCGCGGGUGGGAGGCGGGUGCAGCCGGGACGCGGUUCACAGCAAGAUUCUUCUGGGAACUGGGAAAUCUGCUCCUCAGUGGAUCCAUCAUGGAUGAGCUCCCGGCUGAAUGUGCUGUAGGAGGCAGGGCCUGGUGGAGGCGGUCACUGGGUGUGACCUGGAAGAAAAGUAACUGAGACAUCCGUGAAAGCAAUGAACAUACCAGACAUUGCAGACCUCCCAAAGGGCUGGAGCAAGCCAUCUUUUAUCUCUUCAUGCAUGAGCCACUUUGAUGACAACAAGGUCGUGGUUUUCCCAGCUGUAUUUCCACACACCCAUCCACUGAAAUGUUGGCGUUUCUCUCUUAUCCACUGGAAAUAAGUCCCAUGAAUAUAGCGAAAUCCUUUAUAGAAAGCAUGGCUCCUCUACGGGUGCACCUGCGACUGACUUUAGCUUACACAUCAGUAAGAGAUUAGUGACAAUAACCAAUAAUAGAAUAGAACAGUGCUAAUGAUACACUGUACUCAAUGGUAUGUAGAUACGAUUUAUCCCUGUUUUUCAAGAAUAAAUGCUGCACAAAUAUGACUUCUCA